AGGAGCCUGGGGUGAGCCAAGAUAGAAAAG
rnacentral:piRNA from 1 species